rnacentral:rRNA from 1 species
AGUGAACGCUGGCGGUAGGCCUAACACAUGCAAGUCGAACGGCAGCACAGUAAGAGCUUGCUCUUACGGGUGGCGAGUGGCGGACGGGUGAGGAAUACAUCGGAAUCUACUUUUUCGCGGGGGAUAACGUAGGGAAACUUACGCUCAUACCGCAUACGACCUACGGGUGAAAGCAGGGGUUCUUCGGACCUUGCGCGUUUGAAUGAGCUGAGGUCGGGUUAGCUAGUUGGCGGGUAAAAUGCCCACUAAGGCGACGAUCCGUAGCUGGUCUGAGAGGAUGGACAGCCACACCGCAACAGAGACACGGUCCAGACUCCUACGGGAGGGAGCAGUGGGUAAGUUUGGACACUGGCCGCAACGCGGAACCACCCAGACCGCGUGGGUGCAGAAGGGCUUCUGGUUUUAGAACCCUUUUGUUGGGAAAGAAAAGCAGCAGGGUAAUGCGCCGCUGUUCUGACGGUACCCUAAGAAUAAGCACCGGCUAACUUCGUG